rnacentral:snoRNA from 1 species
AAGACUAUACUUUCAGGGAUCAUUUCUAUAGUAUGUUACUAAAAAGUAGCCAGUUGUCCACUAUUAGAUUCAUCUACCUAAUCAUAAAUUCAUCAGU